CUCUCCGUCCCGGUGCCUGGGCCCGCGGAGCUGCCGGAAUGGACUCUGCUGGCCGCAGCCGGGGCCCGUAACAGCAUCUGUGAUUUCCUCUUGGCCGAGGGCCCUCCUUUCCCCCAAAUGCUUGCCUUCCCCACCUCCUGUUCUGGAAAGGGAGAGGGAACUUUCAGAGCCGGGUCCAAAGGCAGCGAUCCCCUCACACCCCGUGGAGGGGAGGCGGCUGGGGAGGGGCCGCCGGCGGCCGAGGAGUGGGGGCGCAGAGUGCGGGGACCACCCACGAGAGUUUGGGACUCCAGCUGCUUGCGGACCUUGUCCAGUGGGAGCCCCCUCUGUGGCCAGACACUGUGCAGUGGGAAGUGAUGAUGAACUUGGACCACCUUGGACCCCGACGUGACACCCCAGGCUCGUCCCCGGGGCCUGUAGAAAGGCUCAGGAUGGUCAUGGGUCAUGCUGGACGAGUCUGAGGCUCCAGGUCAAAGGCAAUGACGGUCAGCCCUGAGUACCCAUCCAUCUGUUCAUUUGCUCAGAAAUCGCUGCCCUGUGCUGGCUCAGGGAGGGCAGUGUCUGCCCCGUAGAAUGUAACACGUGGCUGGAAAUUUUCUUGUAGCUACAUUAAGAACUAUGUGAAUUUUAUUAAUAUAUUUCAUUUAACCCAA